rnacentral:sRNA from 1 species
CAGCAAAGUUUGUGAAAGGCAGCAGAAUCCCACUCCCCAUGCUUGCCCUCAGGACCCUCACUGGAGCAGAAGCAUUGCUCAGAGCGUGAGAAAGAGAAGCGAGCGUCCGUGAACAUGCUGGCUCUGGGUGAGACCUCGAUGUUCCUGGUCCGCCGGGACAGCAGCUCGAAGCACCUGGUGCUCUGUGUCCACUUUCCUUCCCUGAACGAGAGCUCGGCAGAGGUGCUCGAAUACACCAUUAAGGAAGAAAAGUUGACAUUCCCCUUUUCAGCCUCCAACACUGGAGUUGGGCCAGGAAAAAAAUACAUCAUGAGAUAAUUUAACUCCAAGAACUUUAUUGUAAAACUUCAGCGGUGAAUUUCUUUAAAAAAAAAAAAAGAUCUUGAAUCAUA